AUACCUUGAAAGAGUGCGUAAUAGCUCACUGGUCGAGAGUAUCUGCGCCGAAGAUGUAACGGGGCUAAGACAUAAACCGAAGCUGUGGAAGAUGCUUUCGCAUCUUGGUAGGAGAGCGUUCUGUAAGCCGAUGAAGGCAGGCUGUAAGGCCUGCUGGAGGUAUCAGAAGUGAGAAUGCAGGAAUGAGUAGCGAGAAGGCGGGUGAGAAUCCCGCCGGCCGGAAGUCCAAGGUUUCCAGGGGAAGGUUUGUCCGCCCUGGGGAAGUCGGGACCUAAGCCGAGGCUAAGAAGCGUAGGCGAAUGGAAAAUAGGUUAAUAUUCCUAUACCACUUAAUUAACGUUUUUACUGAUGGAGUGACGCAGGAAGGUAUGUGAGAAGGCUGACGGUUUAGCCUUUCUAAGGAAGUAGCGUGAGCAUAUAGGUAAAUCCGUAUGCUUAAACGUGAGAACUGAUGGGUAAGCACCUCUUGGUGUAAGUCACAAAUCCUACACUGCCAAGAAAAACUUCUAAGGAGGAGAUUAAGUGCCCGUACUGUAAACCGACACAGGUGGACAGAGUGAGAAACUUAAGGCCGACAGGCUAACUCUAGCUAAGGAACUCUGCAAAAUAGCCCCGUAACUUCGGGAGAAGGGGUGCCUAUAUUACUUGAGAAGAGAAACACUUCAAGGGGAAAUAGGUCGCAGUGAAGAGUCUCAAGCAACUGUUUACCAAAAACACAGGUCUAUGCUAAGCUGAAAGGCGACGUAUAUGGGCUGACACCUGCCCAGUGCCGGAAGGUUAAGAGGAGGAUUGAGAGAUCCGAAUUGAAGCCCCGGUGAACGGCGGCCGUAACUAUAACGGUCCUAAGGUAGCGAAAUUCCUUGUCGGGUAAGUUCCGACCUGCACGAAUGGUGAAAUGAUUUGAGAGCUGUCUUGGCUGGAGGCCUGGUGAAGUUGUAAUGUCGGUGAAGAUACCGACUACCUGCAGUAGGACGGAAAGACCCCGUGGAGCUUUACUGUAGCUUGGCAUUGGGUUUUGGCAAUGUGUGUAUAGGAUAGUUGGGAGACUAUGAAGUAAUGGCGUCAGUUGUUACAGAGUCGCUGUUGGAAUACCAACCAUAUGUUGUUGAAAUUCUAAUCUGGUAACGGAGACAGUGCUAGGUGGGCAGUUUGACUGGGGCGGUCGCCUCCAAAAGAGUAACGGAGGCGUUCAAAGGUUCCCUCAGGUUGGAUGGAAAUCAACCUAAGAGUGCAAACGCAUAAGGGAGCUUGACUGCGAGACUGACGGGUCGAGCAGGUACGAAAGUAGGAGUUAGUGAUCCGGUGGUUCCAAAUGGAAGGGCCAUCGCUCAACGGAUAAAAGCUACCCCGGGGAUAACAGGCUGAUACUUCCCAAGAGUCCAUAUCGACGGAAGUGUUUGGCACCUCGAUGUCGGCUCGUCUCAUCCUGGGGCUGGAGAAGGUCCCAAGGGUUGGGCUGUUCGCCCAUUAAAGAGGCACGCGAGCUGGGUUCAGAACGUCGUGAGACAGUUCGGUCCCUAUCCACUGCAGGCGCUAGAAUAUUGAAAAGAUCUGUCCUUAGUACGAGAGGACCGGGAUGGACAAACCUCUGAUGUAUCAGUUGUCACGCCAGUGGCAUGGCUGAGUAGUCACGUUUGGAAGGGAUAAUCGCUGAAAGCAUCUAAGUGAGAAGCCCACUUUGAGAUGAGUGUUCUUUUAGUAUCCAUCGAGAACAGGUGGUGAUAGGCUGGAGGUGUAAGUAUAGAGAUAUAUUUAGCUGACCAGUACUAAUAUUACGAAAGCUUUUAAU
rnacentral:rRNA from 1 species